rnacentral:tRNA from 2 species
GCGAAAGUGGUGGAAUUGGUAGACGCGCUGGAUUUAGGAUCCAGUGGGAGAGAUCCUGUAGGGGUUCGAGUCCCCUCUUUCGCACCA